UUGAAGGGUUUUUGUGGCUCCCAUGCUGGACUGUGUGACAAAGACUCCACACUUGGGUUGUGUGAAGCUUCUGGGUAACCCCAGCAGCUGAGCUGGGUGAGGAUGUGGCUUGUCAGGGACCUCAGCUUCUGCCCAGGGCUGUUCUACACCCCUGGCCAAGUGCUUUUAUUUGUCCCUGGCCACUCCUGUGCACUCACUGCUCCUGGAGCUGCUCCUCCCUUCAUCUCAGGUGAGUAUCUGUAGCUCCUGGCCAUGGAAAUAAAUGGUGUUUUUAUGGAGCUCCCCAAAGACAGGUCUCUCCUGCUCUGCUGGUUCCCAUCCUCCCUCCCAGGGACUCAGGCCUUCAGUCUCCAGCUCUCCAAGAGGUGACAGACUUUGCACAGGAGAUGCAGGAUGAGAACUGGGAAAUUCUGGGCAGGAUUUGGCAGCCUCAAUAGAAAAGAAGUCUCUGCUCAAUGUCAGCUUUGCAACCCUUGAUUCAGAGCAGAUUAAAUGAUGUAAAGAACCCUGGGGGAAAGAGGUUUCCUUUCCUCAGCUCAGCCAUGAAUUUGCUUCCAAACUGCAAGAGGGAAGUUGUUUUGGAUGGGUUUGGAAGUUGUUUAGAGAUAGAACCUUCAAGAACACACCCUGAUGCCAACCCAAAGAGGGCACUCUGGGCAUGGAAAACUCAGCAGAAUUGUGCUAGAGGUGCUUUCCUCAUGCAUCAUCACCCACAGCAAAAACCACUGAUAACUCUGCUCAGAUGCAGCUUUUCUUAGUCAGUGCUGCCACAGAUGUUGGAAUGGCCUCUGACAAGUCACCUUUGGACAGAGGUGAGCAGAAGGAAAGGCAAACACUCCCCAGAAGUGUGUUUUUGUCAACGAAAUCCUAAACAUCUGACGGAAGUGUUUGAGCUCCUCUUGCUGGGUCUCUUGCCAAAUCUCCAGAUUAAUUUCCUCAGGUUGCAAUAUUUUUAAGCUCUAUUGUAGAAGAGGCAGGGGUUUACUUUUUUUUGUCUUAAACCAUGACAUGUAGAAAUAAAAUAUUUACUGGCUGUCA